rnacentral:rRNA from 1 species
GGUCAAGUGAAGAAGCGCAUACGGUGGAUGCCUUGGCAGUCAGAGGCGAUGAAAGACGUGGUAGCCUGCGAAAAGCUUCGGGGAGUCGGCAAACAGACUUUGAUCCGGAGAUGUCUGAAUGGGGGAACCCAGCCAUCAUAAGAUGGUUAUCUUGUACUGAAUACAUAGGUGCAAGAGGCGAACCAGGGGAACUGAAACAUCUAAGUACCCUGAGGAAAAGAAAUCAACCGAGAUUCCCUUAGUAGUGGCGAGCGAACGGGGACUAGCCCUUAAGUGGCUUUGAGAUUAGCGGAACGCUCUGGAAAGUGCGGCCAUAGUGGGUGAUAGCCCUGUACGCGAAAAUCUCUUAGUCAUGAAAUCGAGUAGGACGGAGCACGAGAAACUUUGUCUGAAUAUGGGGGGACCAUCCUCCAAGGCUAAAUACUACUGACUGACCGAUAGUGAACUAGUACCGUGAGGGAAAGGCGAAAAGAACCCCGGAGAGGGGAGUGAAAUAGAUCCUGAAACCGUAUGCGUACAAGCAGUGGGAGCCCACUUUGUUGGGUGACUGCGUACCUUUUGUAUAAUGGGUCAGCGACUUAUUUUCAGUGGCGAGCUUAACCGAAUAGGGGAGGCGUAGCGAAAGCGAGUCUUAAUAGGGCGUCUAGUCGCUGGGAAUAGACCCGAAACCGGGCGAUCUAUCCAUGGGCAGGUUGAAGGUUGGGUAACACUAACUGGAGGACCGAACCGACUACCGUUGAAAAGUUAGCGGAUGACCUGUGGAUCGGAGUGAAAGGCUAAUCAAGCUCGGAGAUAGCUGGUUCUCCUCGAAAGCUAUUUAGGUAGCGCCUCAUGUAUCACUGUAGGGGGUAGAGCACUGUUUCGGCUAGGGGGUCAUCCCGACUUACCAAACCGAUGCAAACUCCGAAUACCUACAAGUGCCGAGCAUGGGAGACACACGGCGGGUGCUAACGUCCGUCGUGAAAAGGGAAACAACCCAGACCGUCAGCUAAGGUCCCAAAGUUAUGGUUAAGUGGGAAACGAUGUGGGAAGGCUUAGACAGCUAGGAGGUUGGCUUAGAAGCAGCCACCCUUUAAAGAAAGCGUAAUAGCUCACUAGUCGAGUCGGCCUGCGCGGAAGAUGUAACGGGGCUCAAACCAUACACCGAAGCUCGGGUAUCACGUAAGUGAUGCGGUAGAGGAGCGUUCUGUAAGCCUGUGAAGGUGAGUUGAGAAGCUUGCUGGAGGUAUCAGAAGUGCGAAUGCUGACAUGAGUAACGAUAAUGGGUGUGAAAAACACCCACGCCGAAAGACCAAGGUUUCCUGCGCAACGUUAAUCGACGCAGGGUUAGUCGGUCCCUAAGGCGAGGCUGAAAAGCGUAGUCGAUGGAAAACAGGUUAAUAUUCCUGUACUUCUGGUUAUUGCGAUGGAGGGACGGAGAAGGCUAGGCCAGCUUGGCGUUGGUUGUCCAAGUUUAAGGUGGUAGGCUGGAAUCUUAGGUAAAUCCGGGAUUCUAAGGCCGAGAGCUGAUGACGAGUUACCUUUCAGGUAACGAAGUGGUUGAUGCCAUGCUUCCAAGAAAAGCUUCUAAGCUUCAGGUAACCAGGAACCGUACCCCAAACCGACACAGGUGGUUGGGUAGAGAAUACCAAGGCGCUUGAGAGAACUCGGGUGAAGGAACUAGGCAAAAUGGCACCGUAACUUCGGGAGAAGGUGCGCCGGUGAGGGUGAAGGACUUGCUCCGUAAGCUCAUGCCGGUCGAAGAUACCAGGCCGCUGCGACUGUUUAUUAAAAACACAGCACUCUGCAAACACGAAAGUGGACGUAUAGGGUGUGACGCCUGCCCGGUGCCGGAAGGUUAAUUGAUGGGGUUAGCUAACGCGAAGCUCUUGAUCGAAGCCCCGGUAAACGGCGGCCGUAACUAUAACGGUCCUAAGGUAGCGAAAUUCCUUGUCGGGUAAGUUCCGACCUGCACGAAUGGCGUAACGAUGGCGGCGCUGUCUCCACCCGAGACUCAGUGAAAUUGAAAUCGCUGUGAAGAUGCAGUGUAUCCGCGGCUAGACGGAAAGACCCCGUGAACCUUUACUAUAGCUUUGCACUGGACUUUGAAUUUGCUUGUGUAGGAUAGGUGGGAGGCUUUGAAGCGUGGACGCCAGUCUGCGUGGAGCCAUCCUUGAAAUACCACCCUGGCAACUUUGAGGUUCUAACUCAGGUCCGUUAUCCGGAUCGAGGACAGUGUAUGGUGGGUAGUUUGACUGGGGCGGUCUCCUCCUAAAGAGUAACGGAGGAGUACGAAGGUGCGCUCAGACCGGUCGGAAAUCGGUCGUAGAGUAUAAAGGCAAAAGCGCGCUUGACUGCGAGACAGACACGUCGAGCAGGUACGAAAGUAGGUCUUAGUGAUCCGGUGGUUCUGUAUGGAAGGGCCAUCGCUCAACGGAUAAAAGGUACUCCGGGGAUAACAGGCUGAUACCGCCCAAGAGUUCAUAUCGACGGCGGUGUUUGGCACCUCGAUGUCGGCUCAUCACAUCCUGGGGCUGAAGCCGGUCCCAAGGGUAUGGCUGUUCGCCAUUUAAAGUGGUACGCGAGCUGGGUUUAGAACGUCGUGAGACAGUUCGGUCCCUAUCUGCCGUGGACGUUUGAGAUUUGAGAGGGGCUGCUCCUAGUACGAGAGGACCGGAGUGGACGAACCUCUGGUGUUCCGGUUGUCACGCCAGUGGCAUUGCCGGGUAGCUAUGUUCGGAAUAGAUAACCGCUGAAAGCAUCUAAGCGGGAAACUAGCCUCAAGAUGAGAUCUCACUGGAACCUUGAGUUCCCUGAAGGGCCGUCGAAGACUACGACGUUGAUAGGUUGGGUGUGUAAGCGCUGUGAGGCGUUGAGCUAACCAAUACUAAUUGCCCGUGAGGCUUGACCAU